rnacentral:rRNA from 1 species
UACGUAGGGUGCGAGCGUUAAUCGGAAUUACUGGGCGUAAAGCGUGCGCAGGCGGCGCGUUAAGACAGGUGUGAAAGCCCCGAGCUUAACUUGGGAAUUGCGCUUGUGACUGGCGUACUGGAGUGUGGCAGAGGGAGGUGGAAUUCCACGUGUAGCAGUGAAAUGCGUAGAGAUGUGGAGGAACACCGAUGGCGAAGGCAGCCUCCUGGGCCAGCACUGACGCUCAUGCACGAAAGCGUGGGGAGCGAAACAAGGAUUGAUGAA